rnacentral:lncRNA from 1 species
CCUCAACAUACUGUUUGAUUACUGUAAUGAUCUAUAGAAUUAAUUAUAUUUUUUAAACUAUCCAUACUGGAUAAUCAAUUGAUCAAUGUAUAUAAUUCUUCUAACUAUACAAAAAUAAAUAAAUAUAUGGAUACCAUAGAAUAUAUAUAUUAAUCAAAAGAUGGAUCUAUGAUUCUAUACAAUAUAAUAUUUUUAAAAUUUUUAAAUUAUGGGAUCUCAAAGUAUCGAGCAGCAUGGCAAAUGGGGA